rnacentral:lncRNA from 1 species
CCCCCGACUCGUCCCUCGGGCGCCGCGCAGCCCCCACCCACCCUCACCCACUCCCAGUCCGCGCCUAAAAAAAAUGGCGUCUCCUCCCGACACCCCUGAUAACGCCUCUGCCACGUGCUGGCGCGUCACGUGCCUCUCCCGCUGGCCAAUAGGGGAGCCGGUCGCCAGCGCCACGCAUGCGCGCUCGCCCUCCGGCGAAGAGGGCUGGGGUAUGUCAGCCGUUAGGGCCGUUAGGGGCGGCCAUUAGCUGGGGUCGUUAGGUCACUGUGAUGUCUGCGUGGGGGGGAGGGGAGGGUUAAGGCUGCCCCCGAGCCUCGCAAGAGAGCAGUUGGAGUUUGGGGGAUGGGUUGUGCCCUGGUACCUGGGGGUUGGUUUUUUGAAACAACAGCUAAUAGGCAGCAUGCCCCUUUGCUAGAACGAAAUACUUAAUUACCUAAUUUAAGCUAAAGUUAGGUUAGACAGGCUGUACGUUUUCAAAAUAAAGCAUGAAGAAGACUCCAUUCCCAAAGUUUUGUCCUUACACCAGACUUGUAGAGGCCAGAAGGGCUGAAAUCCUGGCUCUGGAGCUGUUUGUCUGUUGAAGUACUGAAGAGCACAGAUAGAGUUUGUAUCAGUACACUGCACCUUUUAAAAACCUUGGCAAGUACUCCAAUAUUCCUGCUCGUGUUUCUUAGCUGCUGAUGCACUACGCAUCUCUGUAACUUCUUCACAGUUGAACAGUAUAGCUGUGGAAUAAUACAGCAGGACUUAUCCUGAAAGGCUUAAAACCAUUCCAUGAAUGUGAUAUAUCCUUAUUAACCUAUUAUACCACUUUCAAUUUAUUUUCCUCAAGUCUGAAAAGCUAUUUGAAAAACCAUAUGCCUGUUUGAGAACUUUCAUGUCUUCUGUUGUAGAGAAGCUAUACUGUCUCUGUAAUUCUCUGCAUGGGAGGUUUGGAUACACUCUUCUCAUGACACCUGGAAAAGGGUUAGGUAGAAAGGCUGUUUGGUACCUGCACGUGCAUCCAUACCUCGCUUACCCGAGAAGGCAGCCAGGCGCAGGACACGUUUAGUUACACACAGCACGUGUCCCCAACGGCAGCGGCAGGCCUGCUGCGGGCAGAGGGCUCGGGUAGCAGCCACGCCGCUGCCUUUGCCCAGGAGGGGCAGCCACGGGGCCGCCACCCCGCAGGGCGCUCGCAGCCGGACCCGGCGCGCUGCUGCCGCUCCCCGGCCGGCACCGCCGCCAGCCGGCGGGGAUCUGCCAGCGCCGCCCCGCUGCCGGCACCGCCCCGCUCCCUCCUCCCGGCCGCGCUCGGGCGGCUCCGCCGCGGGCCCGCCUGCGGAACUGCGCGGCCCGGCACGCCGGGAGGCUCAGCCCGCCUCCGGCCCGGCCCGGCCCGGCCCGCUGCCCGCCGCCCGCUGCCCGCCGCGGAGCGCCGCCGCCGCAGGUAGGGGAGCGGCGCCGAGCCGGGGCCGUCGGGAGAGCGGGAGCGGCGGG